rnacentral:rRNA from 1 species
CCUAACACAUGCAAGUCGAACGGGAAGCGGUGCAUAUUGCUUCGGUGAUAAUGUGCCGUGGAGAGUGGCGAACGGGUGCGUAACACGUAGGUAACCUGCCCUGAAAGGGGGGAUAACCACGGGAAACUGUGGCUAAUACCGUAUAAUCUCGCCGUGGCGGUGGUUACGGUGAGGAAAGCUGAGGCGAUUUGGGAGGGGCCUGCGGUCGAUUAGCUGGUUGGUGGGGUAAAGGCCCACCAAGGCGAUGAUCGAUAGCUGUUCUGAGAGGAAGACCAGCCACACGGGAACUGAGACACGGUUCCGACUCCUACGGGGGGCAGCAAUGAGGAAUAUUGCGCAAUGGGGGGAACCCUGACGCAGCAACGCCGCGUGGAGGACGAAGGUUUUCGGAUUGUAAACUCCUUAACUGGGGGAAGAGAGAGGACGGUACCCCAGGACGAAGACACGGCUAACUAGGUGCCAGCAGCCGCGGUAAUACCUAGGUGUCGAGCGUUAUCCGGAAUUACUGGGCGUAAAGGGUGCGCAGGCGGUGUUACAAGUCCGGCGUGAAAGCUUCUGGCUUAACUGGGAGAGGACGUCGGAAACUGUAGUGCUAGA